rnacentral:rRNA from 1 species
AACCGAAUAGGGGAGCCGGAGGGAAACCGAGUCUUAAUUGGGCGUUAAGUUGCAGGGUAUAGACCCGAAACCCGGUGAUCUAGCCAUGGGCAGGUUGAAGGUUGGGUAACACUAACUGGAGGACCGAACCGACUAAUGUUGAAAAAUUAGCGGAUGACCUGUGGCUGGGGGUGAAAGGCCAAUCAAACCGGGAGAUAGCUGGUUCUCCCCGAAAGCUAUUUAGGUAGCGCCUCGUGAAUUCAUCUCCGGGGGUAGAGCACUGUUUCGGCUAGGGGGCCAUCCCGGCUUACCAACCCGAUGCAAACUGCGAAUACCGGAGAAUGUUAUCACGGGAGACACACGGCGGGUGCUAACGUCCGUCGUGAAGAGGGAAACAACCCAGACCGCCAGCUAAGGUCCCAAAGUCAUGGUUAAGUGGGAAACGAUGUGGGAAGGCCCAGACAGCCAGGAUGUUGGCUUAGAAGCAGCCAUCAUUUAAAGAAAGCGUAAUAGCUCACUGGUCGAGUCGGCCUGCGCGGAAGAUGUAACGGGGCUAAACCAUGCACCGAAGCUGCGGCAGCGACACUGUGUGUUGUUGGGUAGGGGAGCGUUCUGUAAGCCUGUGAAGGUGUGUCGUGAGGCAUGCUGGAGGUAUCAGAAGUGCGAAUGCUGACAUAAGUAACGAUAAAGCGGGUGAAAAGCCCGCUCGCCGGAAGACCAAGGGUUCCUGUCCAACGUUAAUCGGGGCAGGGUGAGUCGACCCCUAAGGCGAGGCCGAAAGGCGUAGUCGAUGGGAAACGGGUUAAUAUUCCCGUACUUGGUGUUACUGCGAAGGGGGGACGGAGAAGGCUAUGUUGGCCGGGCGACGGUUGUCCCGGUUUAAGCGUGUAGGUGUGUGUUCCAGGUAAAUCCGGUUCACUUUAACACUGAGGCGUGACGACGAGGCACUACGGUGCUGAAGCAACAAAUGCCCUGCUUCCAGGAAAAGCCUCUAAGCAUCAGGUAACAUCAAAUCGUACCCCAAACCGACACAGGUGGUCAGGUAGAGAAUACCAAGGCGCUUGAGAGAACUCGGGUGAAGGAACUAGGCAAAAUGGUGCCGUAACUUCGGGAGAAGGCACGCUGACACGUAGGUGAAGUGAUUUACUCAUGGAGCUGAAGUCAGUCGAAGAUACCAGCUGGCUGCAACUGUUUAUUAAAAACACAGCACUGUGCAAACACGAAAGUGGACGUAUACGGUGUGACGCCUGCCCGGUGCCGGAAGGUUAAUUGAUGGGGUCAGCGCAAGCGAAGCUCCUGAUCGAAGCCCCGGUAAACGGCGGCCGUAACUAUAACGGUCCUAAGGUAGCGAAAUUCCUUGUCGGGUAAGUUCCGACCUGCACGAAUGGCGUAAUGAUGGCCAGGCUGUCUCCACCCGAGACUCAGUGAAAUUGAACUCGCUGUGAAGAUGCAGUGUACCCGCGGCAAGACGGAAAGACCCCGUGAACCUUUACUAUAGCUUGACACUGAACAUUGAGCCUUGAUGUGUAGGAUAGGUGGGAGGCUUUGAAGUGUGGACGCCAGUCUGCAUGGAGCCGACCUUGAAAUACCACCCUUUAAUGUUUGAUGUUCUAACGUGGACCCGUUACCCGGGUUGCGGACAGUGUCUGGUGGGUAGUUUGACUGGGGCGGUCUCCUCCUAAAGAGUAACGGAGGAGCACGAAGGUUGGCUAAUCCUGGUCGGACAUCAGGAGGUUAGUGCAAUGGCAUAAGCCAGCUUGACUGCGAGCGUGACGGCGCGAGCAGGUGCGAAAGCAGGUCAUAGUGAUCCGGUGGUUCUGAAUGGAAGGGCCAUCGCUCAACGGAUAAAAGGUACUCCGGGGAUAACAGGCUGAUACCGCCCAAGAGUUCAUAUCGACGGCGGUGUUUGGCACCUCGAUGUCGGCUCAUCACAUCCUGGGGCUGAAGUAGGUCCCAAGGGUAUGGCUGUUCGCCAUUUAAAGUGGUACGCGAGCUGGGUUUAGAACGUCGUGAGACAGUUCGGUCCCUAUCUGCCGUGGGCGCUGGAGAACUGAGGGGGGCUGCUCCUAGUACGAGAGGACCGGAGUGGACGCAUCACUGGUGUUCGGGUUGUCAUGCCAAUGGCACUGCCCGGUAGCUAAAUGCGGAAGAGAUAAGUGCUGAAAGCAUCUAAGCACGAAACUUGCCCCGAG